AUUGAACGCUGGCGGCAGGCCUAACACAUGCAAGUCGAGCGGAUGAAGGGAGCUUGCUCCUGGAUUCAGCGGCGGACGGGUGAGUAAUGCCUAGGAAUCUGCCUGGUAGUGGGGGAUAACGUCCGGAAACGGGCGCUAAUACCGCAUACGUCCUGAGGGAGAAAGUGGGGGAUCUUCGGACCUCACGCUAUCAGAUGAGCCUAGGUCGGAUUAGCUAGUUGGUGGGGUAAAGGCCUACCAAGGCGACGAUCCGUAACUGGUCUGAGAGGAUGAUCAGUCACACCGGAACUGAGACACGGUCCCGACUCCUACGGGAGGCAGCAGUGGGGAAUAUUGGAAAAUGGGAGAAAGCCUGAUCCAGCCAUGCCGCGUGUGUGAAGAAGGUCUUCGGAUUGUAAAGCACUUUAAGUUGGGAGGAAGGGAAGUAAGUUAAUACCUUGCUGUUUUGACGUUACCAACAGAAUAAGCAACGGCUAACUUCGUG
rnacentral:rRNA from 1 species